GGCUUAUGUAAGAGAAAAUUGAAUGAGACACAAUGCAGAGAGAAACAUGGCAGAAUCAGAUAUGGAUUUGGGUGUCACAACUCUGGUUAAUGUGUUGUUGAAGGCUUUCAUGGCCGGAAUCACUGGGUUGCUGUGAGUUUUCCGGGUUGUAUGGCCAUGUUCCAGAGGCAUUCUCUCCUGAAGUUUCAUCCCAUAUCUAUGGCAGGCAGAGGUUUGUGAGGUCUGCUGGAAACUAGAGAUGAGGACACGAACCACUGGAUUCAAAUUACAAGAUAAGAGAUUCCACCUAAACAUAAGGAAGAACUUCUUUACUGUAACAACUGUUUGAGAGAGGAAUAGACUGCUUCAGAAGGUAAAAAACCCUCCUUCUAUAAAGAUCUUUCAAUGGAGGUUGAAUGGGCAUUUUUUAGGAGUGCUUUAGUAAUGUAUGACAAAAGAAGUACUAAGGAGCCAUGGUGGCGCAAUGGGUUAAAUCCCUGUGCCAGCUGUACUGCUGACCUGAAGGUUGGGUUGCUGACGUGAAGGUUGCCGGUUUGAAUCUGUGAGAUGGGGUGAGCUCCUGUCUGUCAGCUCUAGCUUAUGGGGAUAUGAGAGGAGCCCAGCAGGAUGGUAACACACCCGGCGUCUCCUGGGCAACAUCUCUGUAGA